rnacentral:rRNA from 1 species
CCCUUAGAUGUUCUGGGCCGCACGCGCGCUACACUGAUGCAUUCAACGAGUCUAAAACCUGGUCUGAGAGGGCUGGGUAAUCUUUUGAAAGUGCAUCGUGAUUGGGAUAGAUGAUUGCAAUUCUUCAUCUUCAACGAGGAAUGCCUAGUAAACGCAAGUCAUCAGCUUGCAUUGAUUACGUCCCUGCCCUUUGUACACACCGCCCGUCGCUCCUACCGAUUGAACGAUCCGAUGAAAACUGUGGAUUGAGAGUCUGAGUGGGUUCGCCUACCUCAACUUUCGAGAAGCGGUUUAAAUCUUAUCGUUUAGAGGAAGGAGAAGUCGCAACA